CUCAACUUCGGGAAGCUGGCAAUAGUCAUGGGAAGUUGUAGCCUUUCCCCAUGGCGUGUGCCCUGCCCUCAUCUCUCAUCUUGCUGAUGGGCACAUUGUACAGUGCAGUCCUAGACAUGAGACAAAUGCCACCGUGUCUUCCUGUGGAGUGCUGGUCCCCUAAUAGCUGUUCAUGGAGAAGUGCACCAUGCAUCUGUCUGUUUUCAAUCAGAGCCCGCUCCUCGCCACUCCUCGGUUUCAGAGCACAGGAGAUCAGUGCCUUCUGUGAAGUCAGCACCAGGAGAUGGAUUCUCUACGGAUGCCUACUUAAUCUGUCCUUCAGGUUUUACAUGGUGAGCUCUGAAGGAAGAGACUCCGGUUUGAGUGACUGGUAGACUGUCUCUUUGUGGUACCUGAUGCCAGUCUUAGUGACAGAAGCCCUAGCAGACGGACACAUGUGGAUUUGAUGUGGACAAGUGGGACACAAGGCAGCGCUUCUGGACAUAGCUGCUCUCUAAAACACCUGGAAGGAUAUUGCCAGAAGACUGGGACUGAAGCGUGACCUCUUCCUUUGGUAGAAAUAGUCUAUUGUUUUGCUUAGUGGGGGGACUCAGUUUUUAAUGAAGGGGACAGUUAUACCCUAAGGACAUGAACUCCUGUGCAGUCUUUAUUGUGUGUAUGUGUGUGGUGGGGGGGAAGGGGCUGACACUACCAAACUGGCAAUCUCUCACAAUACCAGGUGCAUUACAGAUUGGUGUGUGGGCUUUUGUGAAUUGGUUGCAUAUAAAUGAGGAACAUUUAAAUAAAAAGGAGAUCUAGAAACUUUCA